GUGGCUCGGCGACCUGGAAACUCCCUCCAGGCCCACCCAAGCUCCCCGUCAUCGGCCACCUCCACCUCUUGGGGAGCAGCUUGCUGCAUCGCUCCCUUUGGGAACUCUCCAAGAAACAUGGACCUCUCAUGCACUUGAAACUUGGUCGAGUCCCCGUUGUCGUCGUGUCCUCGCCGGAGAUGGCUAAGGAAGUGCUCAAGACACACGACCUUGAGUGCUGCAGUCGGCCUUCGCUCCUCUCGUAUUCCAAGAUUUCAUACGGUCUCUCCGACGUGGCCUUCAUCCCAUACGGAGAACGAUGGAGGCAGCUUCGGAAGUUCUGCACCGUCGAA
rnacentral:lncRNA from 1 species